GCCUAAGACUGGAUUUCUAAUUAGAUACGACAAGGAUAAAAGAACCACAGAACUUAGUAAUUCAGGGCACAAACACUGGAGUCAGACAAACUUGGAGACAGACAGAUGACAGAUGACAGCACCGAGGAAAGAGAAGACGUGAGGCCCAGCGACUGUCAGAGGAAGCACAGAGGCCUCAGAGGGCUGUUUCAGCAAAGGGAGAGGAACUGAAUAUGCCGGGGAUGGAAUAGCGUGUUGAUCUGUGCCUUUGGCACUUGCUUGUGGCCUUUCUUACUGGAUCGCCCCAUCGCAGCCUUGACUGUUCAGCUCAAUUCAUUACUUAUUUGACAUGAAACGUUGUCAGUGAGUCUAAUGGAAAAUUCCACUAAAGAAGGAAAAAACAUCUCUAAUAUGGAACAGCGAGCUAUUGAUUAAAGCUGCCAUGUGCCCUCAGAGCUCCUUUCUUCGAUAAUGCC
rnacentral:lncRNA from 1 species